AUUGAACGCUGGCGGCAUGCCUUACACAUGCAAGUCGAACGGCAGCACGGGAGCAAUCCUGGUGGCGAGAGGCGAACGGGUGAGUAAAGUAUCGGAACGUGCCCAGUCGUGGGGGAUAACGUAGCGAAAGUUACGCUAAUACCGCAUACGAUCUAUGGAUGAAAGCGGGGGAUCGCAAGACCUCGCGCGAUUGGAGCGGCCGAUAUCAGAUUAGGUAGUUGGUGGGGUAAAGGCCCACCAAGCCGACGAUCUGUAGCUGGUCUGAGAGGACGACCAGCCACACUGGGACUGAGACACGGCCCAGACUCCUACGGGAGGCAGCAGUGGGGAAUUUUGGACAAUGGGCGCAAGCCUGAUCCAGCCAUGCCGCGUGCAGGAUGAAGGCCUUCGGGUUGUAAACUGCUUUUGUACGGAACGAAAAGGUUUGACUUAAUACGUUGGACUCAUGACGGUACCGUAAGAAUAAGCACCGGCUAACUACGUGCCAGCAGCCGCCGUAA
rnacentral:rRNA from 1 species